rnacentral:ncRNA from 2 species
ACCCUCCGUCCGCGCUACUGUCGUGACCGACCAAGACCGCUCCACAGCGAAGCCGGUGCGAAUCCGGCGCUGUCCCGCAACUGUGAAGGCUCCGACGGUGAGCCAAGCCAGGUCGCCUGUGGAGAGGUCGCGAACCGC